UCUUGCCCAACAGGCAUCCUUGCUGUGUCCCUCUUUUCCACAUCUGUCACACUUAGGUCUCAGGCAUCGACCUUCAUGGUGAAACUUGCGUUCAUCACAUCUCGGCUUAGUCCCCAGAUAAACCUUUCCACUGGCCUUAUUGGUGGCUCCAUAAGCUUUCAUGCCACGCGGCGGAUUUGAAAACUUUCUUUUGUUUUUGCCUGAAGACUCCACGUGAGUCUCUUUCUUGUUUGUCUCAGAUUUCGAAAACUUUCCCAUACGAAGAGCUUCUUCAGUAAGUGUAACGCUCAAAUCGAUAGCCUCUACGAUGGUUGGAGGCUUUGAGGCAGUAACCAUGCUCAGGAUUUGAGGCGCAAGUCCCCAAAUAAACCUUUCGAUUCUCUUGAAUUCCGGCUCGACAAGAUAAGGAACGACCCUUGAUAAAUCAUGAAAACGCUGAAUAUACUCGGCAACCUUUGGUCCAUCCAUCUUCAGAUUCCAGAACUCAGUUUCCAGUUUCUGGAUUUCAGCUCUUGAACAGUAUUUCUUGCGCAUUAAUUCCUUAAGCUCAUCCCAACUGAGCGUAUAUGCAGCAGUUUCGCCAAGAGUUUGAACUUGGAGGUUCCACCAGGAGAGUGCACCAUCCAAAAACAGCCCCGAAAUAUAAGUGACUCUCUGUUCAGGUGCACAUUUGCUCAUUCUUAGCACGGAAUCGGUCUUUUCAACCCAGCGAACAAAAGCGACGGCACCUCCCGUGCCAUCAAAGUUUAGGGGUUUGCAAUCUAGAAAUUGCUUAUAAGUACAGCCUGUAACACAUGUAACGCAAUUCACGAAUGAGCAUUGGCAGAACACAAUUGGAAAUAUCCAAAAGAUUUGUAACGUGUCUUAGGUGAUUUAACAUUACCAGUUGGAGGGUUAUUUCCGAAAGUGCCACCGUUGUGUUCUGAGCGGUUGGCCUCGUGCUGUGCAAUUGCCUGUGAUAUGCGUUCCUGAAGCUCGGCUUGUGUCCUUGGUAACGUGUUAGUGUAUGUGUCACGUCUGGGCGGCAUUUUCUUCUAGCAAGAAGUUUUAGGCAGGUUAGAGAACAUUCACCAAAUAAUUAUCUGUGGGGUAUAUAUGUAUAUAGACAAUCAUCACCACAAGCAAACAUGUAAUCAUCUAACAUCACAUGCAUAUAUUAUCAAAAGGUAUAAAUAAGAAAACAACCACUGAGCUUCCAUAUAUGUUCGACAACUUGAUACAUUGUUUUUAACAGAUGAAAAACAAAAUGGACUCGAGGUUACAUCACAUCGGUCAUAGAAGUUCCAUAAUACGAAAGUAGUAGUUAUUUUCCUUCUACAUUGGUCCUCUUAGGUCUUUAGUUUUUUUUUUUUUUUUUUACAAAAUGGGCAUACUUCCCAAAAAGUGGGGGGGGGGGGUUUGU
rnacentral:lncRNA from 1 species